AAGAAACAACAAGAAAA
rnacentral:sRNA from 1 species